UACGUAGGGUGCAAGCGUUGUCCGGAAUUAUUGGGCGUAAAGAGCUCGUAGGCGGUCUGUCACGUCGGCUGUGAAAAUCCCGAGGCUCAACCUCGGGGUCUGCAGUCGAUACGGGCAAACUAGAGUAUUGCAGGGGGAGACUGGAAUUCCUGGUGUAGCGGUGAAAUGCGCAGAUAUCAGGAGGAACACCGGUGGCGAAGGCGGGUCUCUGGGCAAUAACUGACGCUGAGGAGCGAAAGCGUGGGGAGCGAACAGG
rnacentral:rRNA from 1 species